rnacentral:lncRNA from 1 species
UGAUUCUUUUCUCUAACAAUGUGAGACAGCUGCCUUGUGGGGACUGAGUGAUGCUCGGUCCUGCUUUGUGACAUCAGAUCCCCUGACCCCUCUUUCUGCAGCUGCAUCUGAAUGCAUCUGUGCUCCUAUUAGCAUAACAUGAGGAGAUGGGGAGACUGGUGACCCCUGCCCACUGCGCCCCCUCCCCACCCUGAGCUGUGUUCACCUCCCUGUUGGACUCCCGUGUUUCGGCAGAGGUGGGGCUGGGCCCUUUCUACCUUUGUCUUAACUUCAUGUUGUACUGAGAAAUACUGAAAAUAAGAAUCUGGAUGUGAAUUUGUUUUUUCUAAUUCAUGUCAUGAGGGUUGAUGGGUUAAUAAAGAAAAAGAUUCUUAAAGUUUGAGACAGGAAAACAAACGGAAGCACUGAGAAUCUUCCAGCAUCUACAUGUUUGCUGUGCUGAGUCUGAUGUUAGUGGGACCAGAGAAGGAUACGAAGAGAAACUUGUCCCACCAGAACCUGUGAUCACAGGGACUCACAGGCAAUCCGGGAGCUCAGCCAGAUUGGGAACAACUGAGGAACUAGCAGAUCCUGACCCACUGGAGGCCUCAAAACAUAUCCUGGAUGAUGGACUUUAGUGUGGCUCAGGCAGUUAAGCCACAUUGCCACUUGAUGUCCUCCUGACUUCUGAACCUAGCAGCCUCUUAUCAUAGAACAUUCUGGAACACUGCAACAGUUCACUAGCACAGGGUACAGAGUCAUGCCUGCUACCUGAUGGAUAGGGAACUAGUGGAAAAUAGGUCACAAAGGUCUCUGAGGGAAGAUAUCCUGGGUUCAAUCCCAACCCCAACUCCACCACCUCCUUAAACUCUCUCAGUACAAAAUGAUCACAAAUUGGGUGCUUCAUGGGUUUGCUUUGAGGAUACAAUUUGACCAUGUAAAUCACAUGGCCUUAUUGCCUGAGACAUAGUAAGUGUUCCUUUAUCCACAGUUACCAUUGUUAUAAUGGGCUGCCCUGGCAGCUCAGACAGUAAAGAAUCCACCUGCAAUGUGGGAGACCUGGGUUUGAUCCCUGGGUGAAGAAGAUCUUCCCUGGAGGAGGAAGUGGCAACCCACUCCAGU